rnacentral:misc_RNA from 1 species
UAUAAAGCGAGUGCUGAGGAGGGUACUUCUCCAUGAUGUGGCUGUAAGAUUCUGGAAUGGCAGAUUUUACACGUUCAUCAUAUAGAAUUUUGCGCCUCCACCAUCUUACUGAACUACUAACCCAAGAUCAGUUCUUCUGGUAUUAAUUAACUUUACGUCCAAAUCCGCAGGAAUCCAUUACCUGCUCAGCGUUUUGUUGGAUGCAAGAUAAACCGAUACCUGUAAUCGCUUGAUAUUAUCUUUACUGUGUCCCAACUGAUCUCAAUGGUUCAUCACUGCACAGGGACUACUGCCAAAUUCUAUUUUUGGUAAUUUAGCUUGG